GACGUCUUCCGAUCAUUCCUAGACGGCGGGGACCAUGUACUUUAGUAAGCAGUAGGAGGAGCUAUGAAUUAAUAUUAGAGAACAGCAACUCUGGGAAUCAGAUUCUCCCCCCUCCUCAGGGUUUGCUUUUGCUAUUCUAGUAGUUUGUUGUUUUAGUGACAUUUUGAACUCUUUUGUAAAGUCUAUAUUGUCUGUGAUAUGUGGCCACUGAAGUCUCAUUUCUGUUAUUGUAGCAGUCAGCUAGUGAUCUGACAGUUCCUUAAACA